UCUGUCGUUGACCGAAGUGUUGUUAUGUGGUACCUGACUGUACUAAAAUUUUUAAUUCAGAAGUCAUAGUUUUCAGCUUUAAGAAGUCUUUCAGUGCUGUUUUUUCUCUCAAAUGCUCGUUUUCUGUUUAUUUAUACUUCUAUUCUUGCUCUAACUCUUCCAGAAGUUCAAUUUCAUAAAGUGUGACUUAAGAUUCUUCAAUCUACUCCUCUCAACCAAGCUAUUUUUGGAUCCUCAUAAAAGAAAACUAAAAGAGUUUGUCAUCCACUGACCUGCACUACAAGAAAUGCCAAAAGAUGUUCCUCACGAUGAUGGGAAAUUAUACCAGUUACAUAAAAAAGGGUGAAGAGCAUCAGAAGUGACAAGAGAAUCUUGGAAUCACGUACUGGAGGUACCACAUUUACUCAGUGAUUACUUUGCCAUGUGAUAGCCAAUCUUCCCAGAUAUUUCAACUUCCUUCAGCAAACAAAAAUCGGAUGAAAUAAGAGAGAAACUACAGUCACAAGGGGAGCAAGGCACCGUGUGAACCUGAUGGAAGUGGACUCCACUUGGCACCUUUGUGCUGACUUAGUUCAAGCCCUUGGCGUCUCUCCAUCAGACACAGCCUGGGGUAUGAAGAUUUUGUAUGAGGCCAAUCAAAACCUGUGACAGAGUAGAACUGAACCAACAAACCACCUUUUUGUUAAGACAGUUCUGAAUACUAGUCUCCAGAGACAAAAGUUCUGGUCCUGGGUAGAGAGAGGCAUUGUUCAUGAGAGGAAAACAUGGAGAAACAUAUUCAUCCUGGGCCCUCAGAAGUCAGGAAAGGAACCUGAAGAAUACACUUUGCCACAAGGUGGAAAAUAUGCCAGACAGGUCAUGCAAGUCUUCACUCUGCAUUUAUGUUAAAUUUAAAUUUAUCAUUUGCUUUUCUGGAUUUCUACACCAGUCUUCUGUGAGCAGGAGCAUAUACCUGUCUGUCUUCUCCUCCAGAUGUGUGAAAGGAAAUGAUAGAAAGGAGCAUGAAGUUACAAAAAGGGGAAAGUAGCUUCUGAAAGUGAUCUCCAUGGCAGUGAGAUGGUCAAAUGAAAGGCAAAUGGGGGAGUGGGACUACCUGAGUCUGGAUUUCUGUCUUCACCAACUGUGAGACCUUGGCCAUGUUAUGAAUCCCUCUGUGCCUGAGUUUACUCAAUUGUACAAUAGGAAUCAUAACAGUACCUCCCUUAUUGUGUUGUCAUAAGGACUAAAUGAGUUAAUGCAUAUAAAGCGUGUAGAACAGUGCCAGGCACGCAGGAACCACUCAAUGAAAGUUGGCCAUUAUUAUUUGGAAAGUAAGACAUUGUAAAAUGUGAUUUCCAAAGCAGUAGCAGAGA